rnacentral:rRNA from 1 species
GUGGGGAAUCUUGCGCAAUGGGCGAAAGCCUGACGCAGCCAUGCCGCGUGAAUGAUGAAGGUCUUAGGAUUGUAAAAUUCUUUCACCGGGGACGAUAAUGACGGUACCCGGAGAAGAAGCCCCGGCUAACUUCGUGCCAGCAGCGGCGGUAAUACGAAGGGGGCUCGCGUUGCUCGGAAUUACUGGGCGUAAAGGGCGCGUAGGCGGACAGUUUAGUCAGAGGUGAAAGCCCAGGGCUCAACCUUGGACUUGCCUUUGAUACUGGCUGUCUUGAGUACGGUGGAGGUGAGUGGAACUCCGAGUGUAGAGGUGAAAUUCGUAGAUAUUCGGAAGAACACCAGUGGCGGAGGCGACUCACUUGCCCGUUACUGACGCUGAGGCGCGAAAGCGUGUGGAGCAAACAGGAUUAGAUACCCCAGUAGUCC